UUGGGGUAGCCCCCAAAAUAUUGGGACAUUUAAAAAAAGACAACACACACACAGAGUAGCUGUUGACAUUAUAGUUGCACAGGCACUUUGUUGACUCUAGAGAACUUUGAGCCAAUCACACAUCCCUGUGGCGUCGACUUUGCAUGCGGAUGUCAUCCAUAUCAACUUUCGAUGCCAGUUUCUGCGUCUACAAUGGUGACCACGGGUAAUGGGGUAUCAGGGUUCCAUUCCGUACAGAGACCCUGAGAAACGGCUACCACAUGCAAGGAAGGCAGCAGGCGCGCAAAUGACCCACUCCCGACGUGGGAAGGUAGUGACGA